GAUGAACGCUGGCGGCGUGCCUAAUACAUGCAAGUCGAGCGAACAGACGAGGAGCUUGCUCCUCUGACGUUAGCGGCGGACGGGUGAGUAACACGUGGAUAACCUACCUAUAAGACUGGGAUAACUUCGGGAAACCGGAGCUAAUACCGGAUAAUAUAUUGAACCGCAUGGUUCAAUAGUGAAAGACGGUUUUGCUGUCACUUAUAGAUGGAUCCGCGCCGCAUUAGCUAGUUGGUAAGGUAACGGCUUACCAAGGCAACGAUGCGUAGCCGACCUGAGAGGGUGAUCGGCCACACUGGAACUGAGACACGGUCCAGACUCCUACGGGAGGCAGCAGUAGGGAAUCUUCCGCAAUGGGCGAAAGCUUGACGGAGCAACGCCGCGUGAGUGAUGAAGGGCUUCGGAUCGUAAAACGCUGUUAUUAGGAAAGAACAAAUGUGUAAGUAACGAUGCACGUCUUGACGGUACCGAAGCAGAAAGCCACGGCUAACUACGG
rnacentral:rRNA from 1 species